GGGCAAACAGUCUUCUCCAAUGCAAUGUGGCGAGAUUGGUCUCGUCACACCCCAGAUGUGCUUUUUUCUCAAAUACGAAUUUUUGUCACUGGGUUUUUUUUUUACCUGGUCCCAGACUGGUAAUCCUAGACCCGGGUCCAUGUACGAGGGAUGGGUAUUAUUCCCACUUUGACUAUAUGCAUUCAUGUUGUGAACGAAGGAGGGAAAC